UGAGCUUGAUCAUGGCUCAGAUUGAACGCUGGCGGCAGGCCUAACACAUGCAAGUCGAGCGGCAGCACGAAAUAGCUUGCUACUUUGCUGACGAGCGGCGGACGGGUGAGUAAUGUCUGGGAAACUGCCUGAUGGAGGGGGAUAACUACUGGAAACGGUAGCUAAUACCGCAUAACCUCGCAAGAGCAAAGUGGGGGACCUUCGGGCCUCACGCCAUCGGAUGUGCCCAGAUGGGAUUAGCUAGUAGGUGGGGUAAUGGCUCACCUAGGCGACGAUCCCUAGCUGGUCUGAGAGGAUGACCAGCCACACUGGAACUGAGACACGGUCCAGACUCCUACGGGAGGCAGCAGUGGGGAAUAUUGCACAAUGGGCGCAAGCCUGAUGCAGCCAUGCCGCGUGUGUGAAGAAGGCCUUCGGGUUGUAAAGCACUUUCAGCGAGGAGGAAGGCGUUAAGGUUAAUAACCUUAGCGAUGACGUACUC
rnacentral:rRNA from 1 species